rnacentral:rRNA from 1 species
ACCAGGGCUUCACACGUCAUACAAUGGUCGGUACAGAGGGUAGCCAAGCCGCGAGGCGGAGCCAAUCUCACAAAACCGAUCGUAGUCCGGAUUGCACUCUGCAACUCGAGUGCAUGAAGUCGGAAUCGCUAGUAAUCGCAGGUCAGCAUACUGCGGUGAAUACGUUCCCGGGUCUUGUACACACCGCCCGUCACACCAUGGGAGUGGGGGAUACCAGAAGUAGGUAGGGUAACCGCAAGGAGCCCGCUUACCACGGUAUGCUUCAUGACUGGGGUGAAGUCGUAACAAGGUAGCCGUAGGGGAACCUGCGGCUGGAUCACCUCCUUUCUA